GAAGAGGAACCGAACUGGGUCUGGUUUCUGCGUGAGCAACGUCUCCGUGCGUCUGGGAACAAACUGAAUUGCAAAAGAAAAACAAAACACACAACAAAUAAGUGUUUGUCUGCUAGUGAGGGGUGUAAAGGGUCUAAUAAACAGUUCUACACACAUCCAGAUGUUAUCUCCUGGUUACCUGCUUUUACUAACCAAACAAAGAGCUGGUUGUUGAUCUGUUUGUGAGGAACAGGUGGAACUGGACCAACCACAGUCAUGGAUCUGGAGCUCAAACACCAAGAAAUGCUAAAUCUUCACAGAAACAGCUGGGCGUUCCUGUUGCUUUAAUCAGACGGAGCCUCACAUCUGUCAUGAUCUGUGCUGCAUACCCAUCUCUGCUGAAUGUUGUUUACAGGUGGGUGUGUCUGGAGAGCCCAGCUGUGCCAAAUCAGCUCAUCAGCGAUCAGGGGAUUUAAGGAGCAGCAGGACAUCUCACCAUUGCCAGAUGAUACUCAGUCUUGGGUAGUUUCUAGCCCUCCUUUUGACCUUCUUAAAACAAUUUUAGAAUUUGUUCGUCCGCCUGUUCCUGCCCUUCUGGUAGUUAACCUGCUCUGCCCUCCUGAUUCCUCCAGUUUCCAGUUAUCUGUUCAUCUCCACUCUCUGCCAUAUCUCCGGAACCUUCAGCCACAUUCCAGUCCUGCCGUCUGCCCCUGAUCGCCAGCUCUCCGUCACCCACCUAUCAACCUGCAGCUCCUCGGUCUCUCCAUCCAGCCAGGUCUGACUAACCCCCCCACCCCCACAAAAUACCGGAUCAUCUAGGAAAUGACCCCCACGGAUCCCUCCAGCCCCGCAGAAGCUUCGCCUACCUCCAAUUUAUUAUAAAUCAUUUAAACUUACCUUCUGUCUCUCGGUGGUGAUUCUUCAUGUCGUGGGUAAAGAAAUUACCCUCAAACAUGACAACAUCAGGCGUUGUUUCCUUGGCUGUUCUCUGAGUUUUUUUUUUUAAAGAACUUUCUUGCGAUUUGGGUUGUGAUGGUGCUUUGUGGUCUCCUACAGAGCGCCGUAAAAAACAUUACUUCUGAUCAUUGAACGCUGCUUUUCACUUCUCAUAACCACUCUCCAUGUCACCUGACAGUAUUACGUUAUGGCAUACUUUGAUGGAAUAAAACUUUUUGAUCGUUA